rnacentral:rRNA from 1 species
UACGGAGGGUGCAAGCGUUGCUCGGAAUUAUUGGGCGUAAAGGGUAGGUAGGUGGUCUCAUUUGUCUGGGGUGAAAGCCUUGAGCUUAACUCAAGAAGUGCCCCAGAAACGGUGAGACUGGAGUCCUGGAGAGGGUCGUGGAAUUCCCGGUGUAGCGGUGAAAUGCGUAGAUAUCUGGAGGAACACCGGUGGCGAAGGCGGCAUCCUGGACCAAUUCUGACGCUGAGUGAGCGAAAGCCAGGGGAGCAAACGGG